CAGAGCCUGGAGCCCGUUUCAGAUUCUGUGUCUCCCUCUCUCUCUGCCCGUCCCCACAGAAUCUGAAACGGGCUCCAGGCUCUG
rnacentral:pre_miRNA from 1 species